rnacentral:rRNA from 1 species
AUUGAACGCUGGCGGCAGGCCUAACACAUGCAAGUCGGGCGAGGGGGGGACGGGUGAGUAAGGUCUGGAAAACUGCCUGAUGUAGGGGGAUAACUACUGGAAACGGUAGCUAAUACCGCAUACAAUCAAAUGGGCCCAGAUGGGAUUGGCUCGUUGGUGGGGUACCGGCUCCCCUGGGCACCGAUCCCUAGCUGGUCUGAGAGGAUGACCAGCCACACUGGAACUGUGACACGGUCCAGACUCCUACGGGAGGCAGCAGUGGGGAAUAUUGCACAAUGGGCGCAAGCCGGAUGCAGCCAUGCCGGGUGUGUGAAGAAGGCUUUCGGGUUGUAAAGCACUUUCAGCGGGGAGGCGUUACCCGCAGAAGAAGCACCGGCUAACUCCGUGCCAGCAGCCGCGGUAAUAC